rnacentral:rRNA from 1 species
GCUGCCGUCGGACCGUCGGCUGCGGUAUUGCGACGGAUUUGAACGUGAUCCGGAUUUGUUGAGUUUAAAGGGUGCGUUGGCGGGCUGAUAAGUCAGUGGUGAAAUCCUAGCGCUUAACUAUGGACGUGCCAUUGAUACUGUAGGGCUUGAGUAUAGAUGCCGUUGGCGGAAUGUGUCAUGUAGCGGUGAAAUGCAUAGAUAUGACACAGAACACCGAUUGCGAAGGCAGCUGACGAAACUAUAACUGACGCUGAUGCACGAAAGCGUGGGGAUCAAACAGGAUUAGAUACCCUGGUAGUC